UACGUAGGUGACAAGCGUUGUCCGGAUUUACUGGGCGUAAAGAGUGUGUAGGCGGUGCUCUAAGUUCGGUGUGAAAUCUCCCGGCUUAACUGGGAGGGUGCGCCGGAAACUGGAGUGCUCGAGCGUGGGAGAGGAAAGCGGAAUUCCUGGUGUAGCGGUGAAAUGCGUAGAUAUCAGGAGGAACACCUGCGGUGUAGACGGCUUUCUGGACCAUUGCUGACGCUGAGACACGAAAGCGUGGGUAGCAAACAGG
rnacentral:rRNA from 1 species